ACUGGGUUGGCCGAGUGGUUAAGGCGUUGGACUUAAGUUCCAAUGGACAAGUGUCCGCGUGGGUUCGAACCCCCACACCCAGUA
rnacentral:tRNA from 1 species